GAUGAACGCUGGCGGCGUGCCUAAUACAUGCAAGUCGAGCGAACAGACGAGGAGCUUGCUCCUCUGACGUUAGCGGCGGACGGGUGAGUAACACGUGGAUAACCUACCUAUAAGACUGGGAUAACUUCGGGAAACCGGAGCUAAUACCGGAUAAUAUAUUGAACCGCAUGGUUCAAUAGUGAAAGACGGUUUUGCUGUCACUUAUAGAUGGAUCCGCGCCGCAUUAGCUAGUUGGUAAGGUAACGGCUUACCAAGGCAACGAUGCGUAGCCGCCCUGAGAGGGUGAGCGGCCAAAAGGGAACUGCGACAAGGUUGAGAAACCUAAGGGAGGCAAGAGGAGGGAAUAUUCAGGAAGGGGCGAAAGUAUGAAGGAGAAAAGACGGGUGAGGGAUGAAGGUAUUAGGAUCGUAAAACUUUGUGAGGAGGGAAGAAAAAAUGUGUAAGGAACUAUGAACGUCUUGAGGGUACCUAAUAAGAAAGCCAGGGCUAGAUACGGG
rnacentral:rRNA from 1 species